rnacentral:tRNA from 1 species
UUUCUGAUAGUCCAGUGGUUAAGACUCUGUGCUUCCAAUGCAGGGGUCAUGGGUUCAAUCCCUGAUCAGGGAA